rnacentral:lncRNA from 1 species
GCGUGGAUGUCGACGGGCGGCAUUCGGGACGCCUCUUUUGGAAAAGGCCAUUAUGAGAGGAAACUUCAAAUUGAUUGCCUGAAUCGGUUCAGAGGAUGAUGGGGAUUGAUGAGGUGAUUUCCUUUCGAAGAGAGACACGCAGGAAGGAAAGAAAUCGAAGGAAGAAAUAUGGCUGGAGUGAGGUUUCCUUUCUCGUGCAGAGGAGGAAGACGAGCACGAGAUCGUGCUCGCUGGCUGAGGGGAGAUGGGCCGGCCCAGUUUGGGUCAGUCCAUUCUUUUUUUUUCUAUUUUCUGUUUUUAUUAAUAACUUUUGAUUCCUAACUCCAAAUAAACUCUAGAAAAUUUUCAAAUUCAAAUCCUCCAAAGUGUGAGCUUUUGGGACUUGAACUCUUUUCAAAUAAAAUAAGUAAAAAUACUUUUCCUUAUAUAAAUGUCAUUAGGGCUUUAUAAGUAAUAAAUAAAAUAGAUUUUAAAAUCUAUUAUGAAACCUUUAUUUCGUAAAUUAGUUUAAACUCCAAUAAAAAUAUUGGGUUGGUAUACUUUGCACCAAAAGCCUUCCUUAGCUAAAUACCCCAUUGGGUUGAAAACUCCAAA